rnacentral:lncRNA from 1 species
CUCCAGCUCCGGCUGCAGCGUCUUCCCCGCGCUCCCGAGCCUAUCCCUCGGGCGCCGGCCUGGGCUGUCCAGCGAGAGGGGCGGAGGGGCAGGGCCCCGGGCUAGGUCCAGGCCCGCAGCUGGCAUCAGGGGGGGCCUGGGUGGGAAGACCGGUUGGGGUGGGGGUGCACAGACCCGGGGAAUCUGAGACGCAAGGUUUCCGGCUCUUGGCCGCUAGUGAGGAAGGCUCGAGGCCGAUCCUGGCCCAAAGCAGGGCGCCGGGCCAUUGUCAGUCCUGGGAAGGGGGAUUGGGAGGAGCCCCAGAGGGGCGGCCAUUCCCUGGGGCGGCGUGGAAGGGAGGCAGCACCUCCAGGCGACAAGUAGAGCUGGGCCCUGGCGGGCUGCCACGGGGGUGUCUGGCAGUCUCUCCUGGGUCUAGGGCUGUUCCUCUGAGGUCACGAGGUGGUCCUUCGGGUGUGUCUGGGUUGGGAAGAUAAAACCAGCACGUGUAAUGUAAUACAUGACAAUGGAAGAUUCUACGUAAUUAAGGGUUAACUCUGAAAUCAGAAGACAAGUUUUCCAAGACUUGGGAAGGUGGAGAGAUCAGAGAUCAGUGAGAGAACAAAGAAUCGGGAGGUCACACGCCACCUGCGGAUGGAGGAGACACACGCAGACAAGACAGGCCCCCCGCCACUGUUGGCACACAGGACACCCACCCAGCCUAUGGUCCUGUCUGUGGUUGGACAACAUAAUCAGAAUAACAGGGUCCAGAUGUCAGGGAUGGAAGUUGGAGAAAGAUGAGGCAGCAGCAGACACUUUCUCCUGUUGGCCUUAAAGAAGCAACCGCCUGUGCUGGGAGAGGGUCACUGGGCUGAGAUUGGUAGGUGGCUCUGGGAGCUGAGGGCCUAAACCUAUGACCACAAGGAACUGAAUUCAUCCCAAAGCCAGAGAGGUGGAAGACGACUCAGAAGAUGCAGAUGCCAAUGCCACAUCCUGGUAAAGGUUCUCGGAAGGACCCAAUGAGACUGGGCUCACUGGGAUAAUCCAGGAUCAUCUCCCAUCUCAAGGUUCUUCAUCGCAUACUUGCAAAGCCCCUUUUGCCAUGUCAGGUAACUUGUUCACAGGUUUGAAGAUUAGAAUGUGGGCAUGUUUGGGGGGCAUAAUUAGGCCUAGCACAAUGCCCAUGUACCCAUCUCCUUGCUUAAACAUUAAACACUUUGCCAAUAUUGUUUCUCCUAUCUCUCACUUUGUUCUCUAAAAAACUCCAGGAAUUUGUUAUUAAAUUUUAUUAAAGCAAAUCCCAGAAAUAAUAUAAUUUGCCUGUAAAUAUGUUAAUAUGUUUCUCUGAGGCCUUUAAAAAUCAUAGCCACUAUGGUAUUAUCGUAAUAAAAUUACCUGAAGUUAUUUAAUGUCACCUAACAUUCAGUCCAUGUUUAAGUUUCCCAAUU